rnacentral:lncRNA from 1 species
GCACAUUUCUGAGGGGUUCAGCAAAAUAAUACGUUAAUUAUGCUGUUUUAAAAGCUAAAUAUAGACAAAUGCUUAUGUUUUGCUAUAAAAUCUGGAACACAACUUUAUGUAAAACCUGAUCAAAACCAAAAAAGAAACGUCGCUUUUUUUUUUUUCCCCCUGCUACUCAUAAAAAGACUUAAAGCAACUUUUACCAAUUUAAGAGCUGGAAGGAUCUCCAAACACUGUUUAAUCCUGUAUUUUUAUCAUUCUUUCAUUAGAGCUCUUUUCUUCCCACAUUUAGACGAGCCAAUACUCCGGUGUGGCUCUCUCAAGGUCGUUCAGAGAACAUUAAUUAAGUGUGAAGCGGGGAUGGGGCGCUGCUCUCUGCUCCUGGGCUGCCGGGGGGCAGGGAGGGCUCGGGAAAUGGGAUUUGGGAUGAGGCAGGAAAAGGAAGAUCCGUGUUCCUUCUGUCUCAGGACGUGCACUAAGACCCAGAGUUAUCCCUGCUCUCCGCUGACCUGCGGACAAGAACUGGGAAUGGAAAACUGGGAAUGGGAAACUGGGAAGAGGAAUGGGAAACUNNNNNNNNNNCUGGGAAUGGGAAACUGGGAAUGGGAAACUGGGAAGAGGAAUGGGAACUGGGGAUGGGAAACUGGGAAUGGGAAACUGGGAAGAGGAAUGGGAACUGGGAAUGGGAAAGUGGGAAUGGAAAACUGGGGAUGGGAACCUGGGAAUGGAAAACUGGGAAGAGGAAUGGGAACUAGGAAUGGGAAAUUGGGAAUGGAAACCUGGGAAUGGGAAACUGGGAAUGGGGAUGGGAAACUGGGAAUGCUAAUCUGGGAAUGGAAAAUUGGGAAAUGUGAUGAGAAAUUGGGAUUGGAAAACUGGGAAUGGGGAGGAGAAUGGGAACUGGGAAUUGAGAACUCCUGGGAGGGUCUCAUGUCUUCAUUACAUCCUCGCUGAGUUUAUUUAAAUUCCCAAAGCCAGGAGGUUAAAGCAGCCUGGCUGUGCGGUUGUCACGGUGUUAAAAAUAAAAUAAAGCCGUGUGAGCUCCGAUUCUUCA